UGCUACAACACAAAAGAUCAUGUGGCACUCGCUCCCACAAACGCUCACGCGGUCUCACGCUCAUAGGUUCUAGCUCAUCCAGGUUGUGCCAUCGGGGCAGCUAGUUCUAUGGUUACCUGUCCUCUUAGUGAUUGGUGAACUCUUCGCUUGUGCACGUGUGUUCGCCGUCGCUUCCUACGAUGGCCCUUCCACGUUUUUCAGCGACGACUUGUAGCACCGACGCCACAACCGACAUUUGAACCGGACAAACUUCCUAACAAGAUUAGUUCCCUGGCCCAUAGGCCUGGAGGCACUGUGCAGGAAAGUACGGCUGUGAACAGCUAGGUGCCCUGAAGAGACCUGUAGGACUACAGCAUGACGUUCAGAAGUCCUAGGUCAUCGCUAUAUGGCAGGACUUUCAAAAUGCGUUUUGGUGGUACCUACCAAACGGCCACCUUCCCUUCCAUCUUGGAGGUGCGCGAAAGCUGUGACUGCUAAUACGCAUGCGCCGGUGUGCUCCGGAGACGAGCGCAACACCAAGUUCACAGAAUAAGAUGAUCGUUCAAAAUGAAAACUGCAUUGCCCGAAGCAGGAGCGCGAUCCAGUCCAGUGGCCUGCUUGGGCACUUCUGGUCGCUUUGAGCAUGGGCACCGUGCCGGAGGGUGUUUCUUCAUGACUGCAUAACUAUCGACACCCUGUCGUAUUGGGUGCCGCCGCAAGAGGUGUACCUCUUCUAUCUCUCUUGCGGAGCAACGAUGACUGCCUGACUGACUGCCGCUCCCGAACGACACGACCUUUUGUCAUCUUUGUUUUUAAUCUAUCUCAUCCUUCUUUCACUGUUUAUUGGUUUAUCCUUUAUGUCCUUGUCUCUUUUCUUUUUUAUUUAUCAUAGUCUUCUUUUAUUUUAUUUCCUUGCGGAAUAGCAAGCGGACGUCCCCUUUGGCUGCCCUUUCCCCCGUUUUUUUUUCCUUUCACCUAAUAAAUAUAUCCUCCCCCCUCCCCGAACGACACUUGCCUGAUAAUUAUGUUCUCGCUUUAACUAUGUUCUCUGCUCUCACUCUGUACUCGUAUUCAGAUUACUGUGCAAGGUAUUGAUAAUUACAUCUACAAAUGCAUGAACGGAAAGCAAAAAGAAAGUACCCAAGGUGCGGUUGUGCAACACCUUG